UACAUAGGGGGGCGAGCGUUAUCCGGAUUUACUGGGCGUAAAGGGUGCGUAGGUGGUUUAUUAAGUUUCUGGUCUAAGUGCAGUGCUCAACGCUGUGAUGCUAGGAAAACUGAUAAACUAGAGUAGGACAGAGGCAAGUGGAAUUCCAUGUGUAGCGGUAAAAUGCGUAAAUAUAUGGAGGAACACCAGUGGCGAAGGCGGCUUACUGGGUCUCAACUGACGCUGAUGCACGAAAGCGUGGGGAGCAAACAGG
rnacentral:rRNA from 1 species